GAUGAAGAACGCAGCGAAAUGCGAUAAGUAAUGUGAAUUGCAGAAUUCAGUGAAUCAUCGAAUCUUUGAACGCACAUUGCGCCCCCUGGCAUUCCGGGGGGCAUGCCUGUUCGAGCGUCAUUACAACCCUCAAGCUCUGCUUGGUAUUGGGCUCUGCUGGGACCGGCAGGCCUUAAAAUCAGUGGCGGCGCCACUCGGCUUCAAGCGUAGUAAUUCUUCUCGCUUCGGAGACCCGGGUGCAUGCUAGCCAGCAACCCCCAACUUUCUUAGGUUGACCUCGGAUCAGGUAGGGAUACCCGCUGAACUUAAGCAUAUCAAUAAGCGGAGGA
rnacentral:misc_RNA from 1 species